rnacentral:rRNA from 1 species
UACGAAGGUCCCAAGCGUCGUUCGGAAUCACUGGGCUUAAAGGGCGCGUAGGCGGUCGAUCAAGUCAGGGGUGAAAUCCUGCAGCUUAACUGUAGAAGUGCCUUUGAUACUGAUCGUCUGGAGGGAGAUAGGGGUGUGUGGAACUUCCAGUGGAGCGGUGAAAUGCGUUGAUAUUGGAAGGAACGCCGGAGGCGAAAGCGACGCACUGGAUCUCUUCUGACGCUGAGGCGCGAAAGCUAGGGGAGCGAACAGG